UUACAUUACACUAAAUCAUUGUGUAUCCCUCCGUUGUCCAUUCGAAAGUAGUGCCUAUUUCUAAAGAGUUCCUUUUCUCUUCUUGAAUAUAAGCCAUUUAACAAUGUGAGACAUGUCUUUUGUGGUUAUUUGUAAUAUCCUGUAUGUGUCUGGAGUACUUUGAUGCCUUGGAUUGGAAGCUAACUUAAAAGAUGAACUUUUGAGGGUGUGUUUUCUAUUGUGUGGGGCUUUUGUCGAAAUUAGGAUUCCGAAACACGUUUUUCUACGGUGGGUUCAUUCGACAGCGAUUUACUUUCUUAGAAGUUGCGAGACGGUAUGUUUUUGAUUGCAAUUAUUGGAAGAUGACAGAUCCAUCUUUAAAAUGAUACCAGGUUCGGAAAAAUUGAUCCGUCGAAAAGGCAAGGAAAAUGCUGUGAAAGUUGUCAGUUUUAUAAUGGGACCCUAUGGGAAUCGGAAUUAGUGUAAUAUAACCUUUAAAAAGCACAUUUACUGCAAUGUCAAGGUCACAUUGAUUCGUCUGCAAGCGAGACAAGUAGAAAAUGAAUUUUAAUGAAUGUUUUGAUGAUUUGGGUGCUAAAAUAGAUGAGAGAUGUCAAUAUUUUGGUCUAAAUGGAUGUUUUAGGUGGUUUUGGACUGUUCCGGAUGGGUGGGGGACCUGGUAUGGACAAGUAAGGGUAACAUUUCCAACAAAUCUUAAAUGUAAAUAUUAUUAUGUCCAUAGAUUGAAGUUUCAGGUGGAGAGCAAGAAAAAAAUAUGCCAAAUUACAUGCAUGCAACCCAUUUAUGCCAUUUUUCUCUUUGUUUGUAGGCCUGACCAUUUGUCCUUGAGCCGCAGAUGGUCAACAAUCCGCUAGCUGUCUUGCUCUGACUGGUGCACUGGACAUGAUUUCAAUAGUCAACCAGACCAUGAUUGAGCUUAAGGAUUGUGCUGCGGAUGCGGCCUGUGCAGUUCCGGGAGAAAGUCACUGUCUUGGGCAUUGCGGUCUGGUAUCAGGUCUGGAUGAUCCUUGCCUGACUGCGGGUUUGUGUACACCUCAAUCCGACUCGGUGUCCUGAACAGAGGCCUCAGUGGUGCAGCGCUUGUGGACGAUCCAUCAACAUCCUGAAAGGUCAACACUUCACCAAGCUGGGAAAAUUGAUCCCGAUACUCAUCCCCAGGUAGUGGAAUGAAUGUACACUGAACUACAGAGGAAUCUCACCCAAAUGACUUUCCUGCCACGACAUUAGUGUGGCCGCUCGCGUAGGAAUUCCUUAGCAAACAUGCUCUUUUGCAUAGUGACUGUGGGCAUUUUUGCAAAACUUAAGCUUUCAACACUGGAUUUUAAAGAGAAUACUUAAUAAAAUGUCGCUAGCAGGACUUAUUUUUAUGAAAGAGACUAUCUGGAUGCGCAACAAGUGUCACUUUGUGUCGUAAGCUGUUGAAGGAGCGAUUUGCGCCUUUUUAAGUGUUAAUUUUGGGUAGCAGGCUUGUAUCGGCUUGAAAGCUGCAAAUUAUGCCUCUGAUCAUAAUAGCAUUAUUUUUUGUAAUUGCAAUGUGUAUGUUUUGAUUGUAAGUGAAGCUUUUAAUAAAUUUUUUCUUGAAAAACAUGAUUUUAUAUGCUGUCAGUGAGUUUUUUAUUGAAAAAAGUGCUUAAAAUUAAAAAAAAGUCUCCUUUUUCAUCAAGAAAAGUACACUGAUUCACAAUCAAUACAUUUAUUUGGGCCUUUUGCUGAUAUAUUGGUGAAUUUCGCAUGCAAUGAUACCAGUUUUUGCCAUAAAAGUUACGCGUAACAAUAAUUGGAGACACAAAAUCAGCUGUCGUCACUUAGACUAAAAAUCAUGUAUUCCGACUCGACUGCGGCCAAUUUAGUCACCGCUUUGAAUGGCCAUUUUAAGGCCUUUACCCCCAUCAGUAUGCA